rnacentral:ncRNA from 2 species
UGGAAAAACUCUGGAGAGCGCGGUCGCACGAUCGCCACCGAAGGGGCAGCGGCUCGCAGGUUUGAUUCAAACCCGCACGCCGUAAUCUCUCAGGUACCAAGGACAGAGGGGUGAAG